UCCACAUAGUGUCUUGAAUUGGGAUGCAGAUGCUGUUGAUCCAUGUAGUUGGACUAUGAUCACUUUUUCUCCAGAUAAAUUUGUCGUUGGCUUAUAGUGCAAGUGUUAGCCGAGUUUAUUAUCUAUUAUAGUUAUAGCUAUUUGAUUUUUAUUUAUUUAAAUUUUGUCUAUUAGUCGUUUCGCGUUGGUCCAGAGCAAGAACAAGGGCUGCCAAGGUUGGAAAAGGCUUAUCAAAGAAUGGUAAAGCACAAAAGCUUGCCUUGCAACAUUGGCUUGAGGCAAUUGAUCCGAGACAUCGUUACGGGCAUAAUCUUCACUUCUAUUAUGGAAAAUGAUUGCAUUCUCAAAGCAAAGAACCCUUCUUCUACUGUUGACACCAUAUCCUGGCCUGAUGAGUAGUAGUCAGAUUGACCUGGUCGAUCUGAAAGUCAAUACUACAUGAAAACUGGUGAUUGUGAGUUUGGUUGUAAGUUUCAUUAUCCACCAGAUUGGGCAAUAUCA